ACUGACCGAUAGUGAACCAGUACCGUGAGGGAAAGGCGAAAAGAACCCCGGCGAGGGGAGUGAAAAAGAACCUGAAACCGUGUACGUACAAGCAGUGGGAGCCUCUUUAUGGGGUGACUGCGUACCUUUUGUAUAAUGGGUCAGCGACUUAUAUUCUGUAGCAAGGUUAACCGAAUAGGGGAGCCGAAGGGAAACCGAGUCUUAACUGGGCGUUAAGUUGCAGGGUAUAGACCCGAAACCCGGUGAUCUAGCCAUGGGCAGGUUGAAGGUUGGGUAACACUAACUGGAGGACCGAACCGACUAAUGUUGAAAAAUUAGCGGAUGACUUGUGGCUGGGGGUGAAAGGCCAAUCAAACCGGGAGAUAGCUGGUUCUCCCCGAAAGCUAUUUAGGUAGCGCCUCGUGAAUUCAUCUCCGGGGGUAGAGCACUGUUUCGGCAAGGGGGUCAUCCCGACUUACCAACCCGAUGCAAACUGCGAAUACCGGAGAAUGUUAUCACGGGAGACACACGGCGGGUGCUAACGUCCGUCGUGAAGAGGGAAACAACCCAGACCGCCAGCUAAGGUCCCAAAGUCAUGGUUAAGUGGGAAACGAUGUGGGAAGGCCCAGACAGCCAGGAUGUUGGCUUAGAAGCAGCCAUCAUUUAAAGAAAGCGUAAUAGCUCACUGGUCGAGUCGGCCUGCGCGGAAGAUGUAACGGGGCUAAACCAUGCACCGAAGCUGCGGCAGCGACACUAUGUGUUGUUGGGUAGGGGAGCGUUCUGUAAGCCUGUGAAGGUGUACUGUGAGGUAUGCUGGAGGUAUCAGAAGUGCGAAUGCUGACAUAAGUAACGAUAAAGCGGGUGAAAAGCCCGCUCGCCGGAAGACCAAGGGUUCCUGUCCAACGUUAAUCGGGGCAGGGUGAGUCGACCCCUAAGGCGAGGCCGAAAGGCGUAGUCGAUGGGAAACAGGUUAAUAUUCCUGUACUUGGUGUUACUGCGAAGGGGGGACGGAGAAGGCUAUGUUGGCCGGGCGACGGUUGUCCCGGUUUAAGCGUGUAGGCUGGUUUUCCAGGCAAAUCCGGAAAAUCAAGGCUGAGGCGUGAUGACGAGGCACUACGGUGCUGAAGCAACAAAUGCCCUGCUUCCAGGAAAAGCCUCUAAGCAUCAGGUAACAUCAAAUCGUACCCCAAACCGACACAGGUGGUCAGGUAGAGAAUACCAAGGCGCUUGAGAGAACUCGGGUGAAGGAACUAGGCAAAAUGGUGCCGUAACUUCGGGAGAAGGCACGCUGAUAUGUAGGUGAAGCGACUUGCUCGUGGAGCUGAAAUCAGUCGAAGAUACCAGCUGGCUGCAACUGUUUAUUAAAAACACAGCACUGUGCAAACACGAAAGUGGACGUAUACGGUGUGACGCCUGCCCGGUGCCGGAAGGUUAAUUGAUGGGGUUAGCGGUAACGCGAAGCUCUUGAUCGAAGCCCCGGUAAACGGCGGCCGUAACUAUAACGGUCCUAAGGUAGCGAAAUUCCUUGUCGGGUAAGUUCCGACCUGCACGAAUGGCGUAAUGAUGGCCAGGCUGUCUCCACCCGAGACUCAGUGAAAUUGAACUCGCUGUGAAGAUGCAGUGUACCCGCGGCAAGACGGAAAGACCCCGUGAACCUUUACUAUAGCUUGACACUGAACAUUGAGCCUUGAUGUGUAGGAUAGGUGGGAGGCUUUGAAGUGUGGACGCCAGUCUGCAUGGAGCCGGCCUUGAAAUACCACCCUUUAAUGUUUGAUGUUCUAACGUUGGCCCCUGAUCGGGGUUGCGGACAGUGUCUGGUGGGUAGUUUGACUGGGGCGGUCUCCUCCUAAAGAGUAACGGAGGAGCACGAAGGUUGGCUAAUCCUGGUCGGACAUCAGGAGGUUAGUGCAAUGGCAUAAGCCAGCUUGACUGCGAGCGUGACGGCGCGAGCAGGUGCGAAAGCAGGUCAUAGUGAUCCGGUGGUUCUGAAUGGAAGGGCCAUCGCUCAACGGAUAAAAGGUACUCCGGGGAUAACAGGCUGAUACCGCCCAAGAGUUCAUAUCGACGGCGGUGUUUGGCACCUCGAUGUCGGCUCAUCACAUCCUGGGGCUGAAGUAGGUCCCAAGGGUAUGGCUGUUCGCCAUUUAAAGUGGUACGCGAGCUGGGUUUAGAACGUCGUGAGACAGUUCGGUCCCUAUCUGCCGUGGGCGCUGGAGAACUGAGGGGGGCUGCUCCUAGUACGAGAGGACCGGAGUGGACGCAUCACUGGUGUUCGGGUUGUCAUGCCAAUGGCACUGCCCGGUAGCUAAAUGCGGAAGAGAUAAGUGCUGAAAGCAUCUAAGCACGAAACUUGCCCCGAGAUGAGUUCUCCCUGAGACUUAGAGUCUCCUGAAGGAACGUUGAAGACGACGACGUUGAUAGGCCGGGUGUGUAAGCGCAGCGAUGCGUUGAGCUAACCGGUACUAAUGAACCGUGAGGCUUAACCUU
rnacentral:rRNA from 1 species